GGUGAAAAGCACCCCGGAAGGGGAGUGAAAUAGAACCUGAAACCGUGUGCUUACAAGUAGUCAGAGCCCGUUAAUGGGUGAUGGCGUGCCUUUUGUAGAAUGAACCGGCGAGUUACGAUUUGAUGCAAGGUUAAGCAGUAAAUGUGGAGCCGUAGCGAAAGCGAGUCUGAAUAGGGCGUUUAGUAUUUGGUCGUAGACCCGAAACCAGGUGAUC
rnacentral:rRNA from 1 species